UACGGAGGAUGCGAGCGUUAUCCGAAUUUAUUGGGUUUAAAGGGUGCGUAGGCGGACGCUUAAGUCAGCGGUAAAAUUGCGGGGCUCAACCUCGUCGAGCCGUUGAAACUGGGUGUCUUGAGUGGGCGAGAAGUACGCGGAAUGCGUGGUGUAGCGGUGAAAUGCAUAGAUAUCACGCAGAACUCCGAUUGCGAAGGCAGCGUACCGGCGCCCAACUGACGCUGAAGCACGAAGGCGUGGGUAUCGAACAGG
rnacentral:rRNA from 1 species